ensembl:snoRNA SNORD24 Small nucleolar RNA SNORD24
UGCCACUGUGAUGACGUUUUAUUUGCUACUCUUGACCUUGAGAGUGAUGAGAGUUAUUACCACCAAUAUCUAAUAAACUGAGGCA